rnacentral:rRNA from 1 species
AAUGGCCUAACGGCUGACGCAGCGACGCCGCGUGAGGGAUGACGCUCUUCGGAGUGUAAACCUCUUUGCCCGGGACGAAUUGCCAGUUUUCACUGGCUUGACGGUACCGGGUGAAUAAGCACCGGCUAACUCCGUGCCAGCAGCCGCGGUAAUACGGGGGGUGCGAGCGUUGUCCGGAAUCACUGGGCGUAAAGGGCGCGUAGGUGGUCUUAUAAGGGUGUGGUGAAAGCCCGGGGCUCAACCCCGGGUCGGCCGUGCCGACUGUGAGGCUAGAGUGCUGUAGGGGCAGGCGGAAUUCCGGGUGUAGCGGUGGAAUGCGUAGGGAUCCGGAGGAAGACCGGUGGCGAAGGCGGCCUGCUGGGCAGUUACUGACACUGAGGCGCGACAGCGUGGGGAGCAAACAGGAUUAGAUACCCUGGUAGUCCACGCCGUAAACGAUGGGUACUAGGUGCCUGGGGGAGCGACCCCUUGGGUGCCGGCGCUAACGCAGGAAGUACCCCGCCUGGGGAGUACGGCCGCAAGGCUG